GCCAGGCACAGUGGCGCACGCCUGUAAUCCCAGCGGCUUGGGAGGCUGAGGCAGGAGCAUCGAAAGUUUAAAGCCAGCCUCAGCAAACUUAGCAAAGCCCUAAGGAAUUUAGGGAGACCCUGUCUCUA
rnacentral:sRNA from 1 species